rnacentral:tRNA from 8 species
GGCGGGAUAGCUCAGUUGGUAGAGCAGAGGCCUGAAAAGCCUUGUGUCCCCAGUUCAAGUCUGGGUCCUGCCACCA